UCCCUGGCGUGGUUCUGCCCCGCAAUUCUUGGUUUGCUGUUUCCCUUUCCUUCACAAGGUGCCCUUCAGCUGCCCGCUGCCUCCAGGGUGUCGAGGGCAGGUGCCUCAUCACUCUGGGCCUGUUUUGACUCAGCUUAUUUGGUGCAGUUUUGUGCCUGGCAGCACCCCGCCGGUGCUGUGCAGAAGUGAGGUGGUGCUGUGCUCAGCGCUCCCUGCGUCCUGGCUGCCGCUGGCCUCUGCUCCAGUGGAGGGUGCCAGGCCGGGCAGCAGCCGGAGUGCCCGGGGCCAGCAGGAGCAGACUGUCUCUGCUGUGAGGGUCAGGGGUGACCAGGAGAGCCACCACCACCACCACCACCUUGCUGCUGGCACCUCCAGCCAUAAAGGAAAGGGAAAGGUUGAGUGCAGGAAGCCUUGAGGCAGAACAGCUCCACCAGACACAGCCUUGCACACACUGCUGAAGGAAACCAUGAGCGCCAAGAGUGUGGGAAAAGACUCCCUGGGAAGGCUGACCUCACCAAGCACACCCACACACUCUGGAGGAAGACCUCAUGAAUGCCAAGACUGUGGCAAAAAGUUCAGUGCUAAGAGUGCCCUCAACACACACACCCUUACACACACUGGUGAAAGACC